rnacentral:lncRNA from 1 species
UCUAGUCAACCAAAAGCUCAAGAAAUAUCUUAACAUUUUCAAUACAAAAGGAGUUGUUUACACAUUGAUGAUGACAUCUUCAUAAUCAAUGAUUUUUUGAAGUACCAAAACAUGCUAUUUGACCUCUUAUCCGCUUUUUAUAUUGUCUCGAAAAUCCUUCUUUGAGCAAUCUAAUUGUACAAAAACAAAUCCAUCUCACCACUCUGUUUAUGUGUGUGGGUAGAAGAUUCCAAUAUUAUUGUACCUUGUGCAUUGGUAGAUUGUACCUCCCAAUCACUCAGUCUUUACCUAUUGUCAAGAUUUUGAUGGAGAUGUAUAAACAUGCGCUUGUGUGUGUGGGACCCAGCUAGAGGAGAUGCGGCUAUCAUGUAAAAGCCAGCAAAACGAGCCACGACGCCAAUAAGUAAGACCGAUAUCCAAAAUCAAGAUCGAAACGUUAGCAACCUAAUUGAAACCAAAAUCUUAGCCUAAACCCCUAAAACAAAAUUAAACCCAAAUAGAAAACCAAUUGUUUGUGUUUGUGGAACCCCAAAAUGUGCGUUUUUUCUUUAUGUAAGGAUAGAGGGCGGUGGAUCCUACCUCUAAUAAUGUUGCUUCUCGCCUCUCCAUUGUUGCCUCGUACAGUGCCUUAUGAGGCAGCAACAUCUAUUUUCUCCGGUGAUGCUGCCUUCCUUCCCCCAGUGAUCUGAAAAAAAUACAACCUCAAUUUGUAAGCAUUUAAAACACACACACACACACACAAAAAUACACUAGAACUAGGCGGUGAAGUCCUCACGUCAUCUUCUCUUCCAUCUUCUUUUCAGCCUCCUCAACGCCCAUCGCCAUCUCCUCGAUCUUCACUGACUCACGUUGUGGCGUCGAUUAAAUUUCUCGUCGCCGUCUGUUAUCUGCCGUUGUUGGACGGAGAAAGUUAAAAAGGGAACCAGGGUGUUUGGAUUCCUUUUUAAGUUUUCCAAAAAGUGAAAACAUUAUUAAAAGUUGUUUCACAAAAUAAAAAGAUCUUUUAAAAUCAAAUUUUAAUAAGAAGGAAAAGUUGGUUGAAGAAAAAAUAAGAAUUGUUAUCUUUUUGUGGCUUUUAGCUUUUAUCACUUAAAAUCAUAAAAAACAAGUCAAACACAUUUUAAACAUAAUCUUUUAGAAAAAGUUUUUCUACAGAAAGUCUUUUAUAAAAAAGACUUUUAUGUUUAAAAAGAAAUCUCAAACACACCCUUGAUGUCAUUAGUGUAUCCGACCGGGUAAAAAGUGAAAAAGGUUAAAAAAAUAUAGACA